CCACUUCUUCUUCUCCUCCAAAAAAAAAAAAAAUAAUAAUAAAUAAAUAAAUAAUAGUAAUAAUAAUCAAAAAAGCAAAAACGGUAUUUUUUUUUUGGUUCAAAUAGGCUGUAUUUGCAAGUCGAACACUGACAAGUUACCCAUGG
rnacentral:ribozyme from 1 species